rnacentral:rRNA from 1 species
GACAUCCAGAGAAUUUAGCAGAGAUGCUUUAGUGCCUUCGGGAACUCUGAGACAGGUGCUGCAUGGCUGUCGUCAGCUCGUGUUGUGAAAUGUUGGUUAAGUCCGCAACGAGCCGCAACCCUUAUCCUUUGUUGCCAGCACGUAAUGGUGGGAACUCAAAGGAGACUGCCGGUGAUAAACCGGAGGAAGGUGGGGAUGACGUCAAGUCAUCAUGGCCCUUACGAGUAGGGCUACACACGUGCUACAAUGGCGUAUACAAAGAGAAGCGACCUCGCGAGAGCAAGCGGACCUCAUAAAGUGCGUCGUAGUCCGGAUUGGAGUCUGCAACUCGACUCCAUGAAGUCGGAAUCGCUAGUAAUCGUAAAUCAGAAUGUUACGGUGAAUACGUUCCCGGGCCUUGUACACACCGCCCGUCACACCAUGGGAGUGGGUUGCAAAAGAAGUAGAUAGCUUAACCUUCGGGAGGGCGUUUACCACUUUGUGAUUCAUGACUGGGGUGAAGUCGUAACAAGGUAAGCGUAGUGCU